UUGCAGUUGCUGAAAAAAUAUUACAUCUUUUCACUUUUUGGUCCAUCCUCUAUAAUUUCAAAAUGAUCACAAAAUUCUCAAGGAUUUUGGAUGGAUUUAUAAAGUUAUCUGAAUAUUUGAGUAGAUGAGGAGUCUUCUUAGAGGAAUUGACUUUUAAGAUAUGAUGUAAAUAUCUUUAUAGGUUCUUUGUAACCUCUAUUGUAUAUAUUACUGUCAUCAAUAAAGGACAGGCUGCUUUUCCAGCCUCCUUCAACCAUAAAAAAAAAGUUAACAAAUUGGAAAAUCUG
rnacentral:lncRNA from 1 species